CUUGACUCUAGUCUGGUAUUGUGGGGAGACGCGAGAGGUGUAGCAUAAGUGGGAGGUCCUUGGGCCGCCGGUGAAAUACCACUACUCUCGUGGUUUCCCCACUCAGUCGGUGAAGCGGCAACCGCCCGCCCGUUGUGGUGUGGCGCGGUUCUGGCGUUGAGUCGGAGGGCCUUGUGCCCUACCGACCGGGCCGAUCCGAGGACAUCAUCAGGUCGGGAGUUCGACUGGGGCGGUACAUCCAUAAAACGAUAACGUGGGUGUCCUAAGGUCAGCUCGGCGAGGACAGAAACCUCGCGUAGAGCAAAAGGGCAAAAGCUGGCUUGAUCCCGGCGCUCAGUAGCCGCCGGGACUGCGAAAGCACGGCCUAUCGAUCCUUUUGGCUCGGAGAGUUUCCGGCAAGAGGUGUCAGAAAAGUUACCACAGGGA
rnacentral:rRNA from 1 species